UCAAACUUGGUCAUUUAGAGGAAGUAAAAGUCGUAACAAGGUUUCCGUAGGUGAACCUGCGGAAGGAUCAUUACAGAGUUCAUGCCCGAAAGGGUAGACCUCCCACCCUUGUGUAUUAUUACUUUGUUGCUUUGGCGAGCCGCCUUCGGGCCUUGCGUGCUCGCCAGAGAAUAUCAAAACUCUUUUUAUUAUUGUCGUCUGAGUACUAUAUAAUAGUUAAAACUUUCAACAACGGAUCUCUUGGUUCUGGCAUCGAUGAAGAACGCAGC
rnacentral:misc_RNA from 1 species